rfam:Otolemur garnettii contig150756, whole genome shotgun sequence.
GGCACUGUAGCUCAGCAGCUAGGGCACCAGCCACAUACGCUGGAGCUGGCUGGUUCAAACCCAGCCUGGGCCA